rnacentral:ribozyme from 1 species
UGCCCAGCAACUCCUAUCCCUACCUCCUCGCGGUACUGGCCGGGGUACGAGUAACCUUAGGGAAGAUCGGAUAACCAACCCCAGGUGGGAACUUUGGUCGUAUGCUGACAGGGAAAG